rnacentral:lncRNA from 1 species
CAAAUCAAAGUCGCCUCAGAGCGCAAAAAGCAAGAUUUACAGAUUUCACAUUUAUUCAUCUCCACUCUGAAGAAACAUAAGCUUUCACCCAUCCAUCCCUCCUGACAAAAACAGCUGCCGUCACCGUCCAGGCCUUCAUCACACUUGCCGUGGAUCGUACAAUUACACGCUGUGAGAAAAAGAGGAGCAGCAAAAAAACAAGGU